UGUGAAGAUACAGCAAGAAGGUGGCCAUCUGCAAGCCAGGAAAAGGGGCCAUGGCAAACACUGAAUCUGCUCACAGUCUGAACUUGAACUUGUCAGCCUCCAGAAUUGGACUUCAGAGAGCUUGUAUGCCCUUCCACCAUGUGAAGACACAGGAAGAAGGCACCAUCUAUGAACCAGAAAAUGGGCCCUCACCAGACAUCACAUCUGCUGGCAUCUUUAUCAAGGACUUCUCAGCCUCCAAAAUUGUGAGAAAUAAAUUUCUGUUGUGCAUAAG
rnacentral:lncRNA from 10 species